AACGAACGCUGGCGGCAGGCUUAACACAUGCAAGUCGAGCGCAUCCUCCGGGGUGAGCGGCAGACGGGUGAGUAACGCGGGGGAAUCUACCCUUUGCUACGGAAUAGCUCCGGGAAACUGGAAUUAAUACCGCAGGGGCUCUUAGGGGGAAAGAGCUAUCGGGAAGAGAUGAGCGCGCGUUGGAUUAGCUAGUUGGUGGUGUAAAGGCAUAUCAACGCGACGAUGCAGAGCUGGUCUGAGAGGAUGAUCAGGCGCAUUGGAACUGCGACACGGCCCAAACUCCUACGCAGGGGAGCAGAAGAGUGUAUAGGGGGAUGAGCCCAAACGUGGUACCGCCAUGCCGGGUGAGUGAUGAAGGCCUUAGGGUUGUGCAGCUCUUUGACCCGAAGAGAUAAUGACGGUAUCCGGAGAAGAAGCACCGGCUAACUACGUG
rnacentral:rRNA from 1 species